UCAGGGCGAGGUUCUGUCAUUCGCUCCGGACUCUUCUCGUUGCUUGCAGUCAGUGCAUGACAGAACUUGACCCUGGC
ncrna:Petromyzon marinus (sea lamprey) microRNA pma-mir-152a precursor